rnacentral:rRNA from 1 species
UGGGGAAUAUUGCACAAUGGGCGGAAGCCUGAUGCAGCGACGCCGCGUGAGGGAUGACGGCCUUCGGGUUGUAAACCUCUCUCAGCAGGGAAGAAGCGCAAGUGACGGUACCUGCAGAAGAAGCACCGGCUAACUACGUGCCAGCAGCCGCGGUAAUACGUAGGGUGCGAGCGUUGUCCGGAAUUAUUGGGCGUAAAGAGCUUGUAGGUGGUUUGUCGCGUCUGCUGUGAAAAUCCGAGGCUCAACCUCGGACUUGCAGUGGGUACGGGCAGACUAGAGUGUGGUAGGGGAGACUGGAAUUCCUGGUGUAGCGGUGGAAUGCGCAGAUAUCAGGAGGAACACCGAUGGCGAAGGCAGGUCUCUGGGCCAUUACUGACACUGAGAAGCGAAAGCAUGGGGAGCGAACA